rnacentral:tRNA from 1 species
GCCCCGGUGGCACAAUCGGUUAGCGCGCCGUACUUAUAAUGCGGAGGUUGUGAGUUCGAACCUCACCCGGAGCU